rnacentral:rRNA from 1 species
UACGGAGGGGGCUAGCGUUGUUCGGAAUUACUGGGCGUAAAGCGCACGUAGGCGGCUUUGUAAGUUAGAGGUGAAAGCCCAGGGCUCAACCCUGGAAUUGCCUUUAAGACUGCAUCGCUUGAAUUGUGGAGAGGUAAGUGGAAUUCCGAGUGUAGAGGUGAAAUUCGUAGAUAUUCGGAAGAACACCAGUGGCGAAGGCGACUUACUGGACACAUAUUGACGCUGAGGUGCGAAAAGCGUGGGGAGCAAACAGG